rnacentral:rRNA from 1 species
AACGAACGCUGGCGGCAGGCUUAACACAUGCAAGUCGAGCGCCCCGCAAGGGGAGCGGCAGACGGGUGAGUAACGCGUGGGAACAUACCCUUUGGUUCGGAAUAACUCAGGGAAACUUGAGCUAAUACCGGAUACGUCCGUAAGGAGAAAGAUUUAUCGCCAAAGGAUUGGCCCGCGUCCGAUUAGCUAGUUGGUGAGGUAACGGCUCACCAAGGCUACGAUCGGUAGCUGGUCUGAGAGGAUGAUCAGCCACAUUGGGACUGAGACACGGCCCAAACUCCUACGGGAGGCAGCAGUGGGGAAUAUUGGACAAUGGGCGCAAGCCUGAUCCAGCCAUGCCGCGUGUGUGAUGAAGGCCUUAGGGUUGUAAAGCACUUUCGUCCGGGACGAUAAUGACGGUACCGGAAGAAGAAGCCCCGGCUAACUUCGUGCCAGCAGCCGCGGUAAU